UCUCAACAGAGACAUCAUAAAAGCUUCACUGUUUAAGACCUGCUCACAGACUCCUGCUGCUGAGUUUAAUAGCAAAGAAAAUGAAAGCUCCGAUCGUCUUCCUGCUCUCGGCUCUUGUCGUGGUCGGGCUCAAAGCGACGACCCCUGAUUCUCCAGGGCAACGUCCAGUCAUCCCAGGAGACGUGGCCGUUCCACAAAUUCUGGGAGUUAGUUUGGAAGAGAUCAUAAGGAGCAAACCAAGCUCUGCGGAUGGAAACGGAGAAGACGAAUCGGGAACAACUCCGAAAACCUAAAAAUCUGACCUGAAAAAAUGAAAAAGAAAUAAACACAAGAGGAUAAAAAGCGUGACAGUCGUCUUUAUUAGAGGAUAAUAUUUUCAGUUUGUGGAUAUGACUUUUCGUUGGUUUUAUGGAGGUGGUUUAAUCAAAUGCAUCCAUGUUUAAUUAGCUAAUAUAUAUGUUAUGUUUUGUUAUUGUUUCAUAUCAUGUAGUGUGGCUCCAUCAAUACAAUCUGCCAUAAAUAA